UGGGGAAUUUUGCACAAUGGGGGCAACCCUGAUGCAGCGACGCCGCGUGAUUUAGAAGGCCUUCGGGUUGUAAAAAUCUUUUGUAUAGGAAGAAAAUGACAGUACUAUACGAAUAAGGUCCGGCUAAUUACGUGCCAGCAGCCGCGGUAAUACGUAAGGACCGAGCGUUGUCCGGAAUCAUUGGGCGUAAAGAGUACGUAGGCGGUUAAAAAAGUUAGAAGUGAAAGGCUAUAGCUCAACUAUAGUAAGCUUUUAAAACUGUUUAACUUGAGAGAUGGAAGGGAAAGUGGAAUUCCUAGUGUAGCGGUGAAAUGCGCAGAUAUUAGGAGGAAUACCGGUGGCGAAGGCGACUUUCUGGCCAUUAUCUGACGCUGAGGUACGAAAGCGUGGGUAGCAAACAGG
rnacentral:rRNA from 1 species